UACUAGAGUAGCACUCGCAUAUCAAUAAGCGGAGGAAAAGAAACUAACAAGGAUUCCCCUAGUAACGGCGAGUGAAGCGGGAAGAGCUCAAAUUUGAAAUCUUAAAGGGUUUCCCUUUACGAAUUGUAGUUUAAAGAAGUGUUUUCUGUUGAGGUUUUGGUAAAAGUUCUUUGGAAUAGGACAUCAUAGAGGGUGAGAAUCCCGUAUUUGACCUUUACUUUCAACUUUGUGAUACACUUUCAAAGAGUCGGAUUGUUUGGGAAUGCAGUCCAAAAUGGGUGGUAAACUUCAUCUAAAGCUAAAUAUUGGCGAGAGACCGAUAGCGAACAAGUACCGUGAGGGAAAGAUGAAAAGAACUUUGAAAAGAGAGUUAAACAGUACGCGAAAUUGUCAAAAGGGAAGCGUUUGACACCAGUGUUGUUUUUCUGAAAAUCAAUUAAAGAACUGUUUAUGCUAAGUUGUUUAGACUUUAUCAGCUAUCUGUUUAGUUUUAGGCUUUUCUUUAAUGCACUUUUCAGUUAACAAGUCAACAUCAAUUUCUUUUGCUGUAAAAAAGCUUGAGGAAGGUGGCUUGAGAUUCGUCUUAAGUGUUUAUAGCCUCUUGCCUAUGCAGUCGGAGAGAUUGAGGUCUGCAGCGUAGAUCCUUCGGGGCUAAAUGCAUUUGUGCUAAGUUAUAGCAUUUUAUAGACAACUUGUUGACUAUGAUUUGUCUUGUAGCUUACUCGCUUAUGUUAUUUUACCUACGCUUAGGAUGUUGAGCGCAUGUCUCUCUCU
rnacentral:rRNA from 1 species